GGGAUGAACGCUGGCGGCGUGCUUAACACAUGCAAGUCGAACGAUGAAGGCUGGAGCUUGCUCUGGCUGGAUUAGUGGCGAACGGGUGAGUAACACGUGAGUAACCUGCCCCAGACUCUGGGAUAAGCGCUGGAAACGGCGUCUAAUACCGGAUACGAGCUUCCACCGCAUGGUGAGGAGCUGGAAAGAAUUUCGGUCUGGGAUGGACUCGCGGCCUAUCAGCUUGUUGGUGAGGUAAUGGCUCACCAAGGCGACGACGGGUAGCCGGCCUGAGAGGGUGACCGGCCACACUGGGACUGAGACACGGCCCAGACUCCUACGGGAGGCAGCAGUGGGGAAUAUUGCACAAUGGGCGCAAGCCUGAUGCAGCAACGCCGCGUGAGGACGAAGGCCUUCGGUUAGUAAACCGUCGUUUAGUAGGAAGAAGCGUAGGUGUUAUUCACUUCAUGAGUACCUGCAAGAAAAGCACGACUAACGUACGU
rnacentral:rRNA from 1 species